UUAAAGUAGUAAGGGCGCAGGGUGGAUGCCUUGGCACUAAGAGCCGAUGAAAGACGUGAUAAGCUGCGAAAAGCUUCGGGGAGGAGCACAUAUCCAAUGAUCCGGAGAUAUCUGAAUGGGGAAACCCGGCAGAGGAAACCUCUGUCAGCGUGCAGUGAAUACAUAGCUGUACGUGGGGAACCCGGGGAACUGAAACAUCUAAGUACCCGGAGGAAGAGAAAGAAAAUUUAUCGAUUUCCAAAGUAGCGGCGAGCGAAAUGGAAAGAGCCCAAACCGUGAUGCGUGCAUCGCGGGGUUCGGACUGCGUUGUGGCAGACGUAAGAUAGGAGAACGGACUGGGAAGUCCGGCCGGAGAGAGUGAAAGCCUCGUAUCCGAAAUCCCAAGUCGCCUAGCAGGAUCCAGAGUAGGACGAGACACGAGAAACCUUGUCUGAACGAGCGGGGACCACCCCGUAAGGCUAAAUACUUCUUAGUGACCGAUAGCGCAUAGUACUGUGAAGGAAAGGUGAAAAGUACCCCGGGAGGGGAGUGAAAGAGAACCUGAAACCCUGUGUCUACAAGCUGUGGGACCUCUUUAUAUGAGGGACUGCGUACUUUUUGUAGAACGGUCCGGCGAGUUGUGCGUACUGGCGAGGUUAAGGACUUAAGGUCUGGAGCCGAAGUGAAAGCAAGCGUUAAUAGCGCGUCAAGUCAGUGAGUGCAGACCCGAAACCGGGUGACCUAUCCAUGUCCAGGUUGAAGCUUCCGUAAGAGGAAGUGGAGGACCGAACCCACAUCCGUUGAAAAGGGUGGGGAUGAGGUGUGGAUAGCGGAGAAAUUCCAAUCGAACCCGGAGAUAGCUGGUUCUCCUCGAAAUAGCUUUAGGGCUAGCCUCAUGAGAGUCUUAUGGAGGUAGAGCACUGAAUUGCCUAGGGGGCGUCAAAGCUUACCAAAGCAUAUCAAACUCCGAAUGCCAUCAAGAUGAUUCAUGGGAGUCAGACCAUACGAGAUAAGUUGGAUGGUCAAAAGGGAAAGAGCCCAGACCUACAGCUAAGGUCCCAAAGUGCGUGUUAAGUGGAAAAGGAUGUGGGGAUUCUAAGACAACUAGGACGUUGGCUUAGAAGCAGCCAUUCAUUGAAAGAGUGCGUAAUAGCUCACUAGUCGAGAGUCCCUGCGCCGAAAAUGUCCGGGGCUGAAACACGACACCGAAGCUUAGGAAUGUGUAAACAUUGGUAGAGGAGCAUUGUUAGCGGGAUGAAGCCAUACCGUAAGGAGUGGUGGACUGCCAGGAAGAGAGAAUGCCGGAAUGAGUAGCGAGAUGAAGGUGAGAAUCCUUCAGGCCGAAUAUCUAAGGUUUCCAGAGUAAAGCUGAUCUGCUCUGGGUAAGUCGGGACCUAAGGCGAGGUCGAAAGACGUAGUCGAUGGAUAACAGGUUGAAAUUCCUGUACCGCAUAUAAACAGAACUGUGGGGACACAGACAGGGAAUGGAAUCCGGGAAUGGAAAUCCCGGUGCAAGCGAGGUAGGAGUGCUGUUGGCAAAUCCGCAGCACGAUCUGAAGACGUGACGCGUACCGAACAUAAGUAGGGAAGUCCAGGCCCCUGGCUGUCAAGAAAAGCCGCUAUCGUUUUAUAUGUGCCCGUACCGCAAACCGACACAGGUGGAUGAGGAGAGAAUCCUAAGGCCGACGGGAGAAGUAUUGUUAAGGAACUCGGCAAAAUGACUCCGUAACUUCGGGAGAAGGAGUGCCAUGAGAGUGGCCGCAGAGAAAUGGCCCAAGCAACUGUUUAGCAAAAACACAGGUCUAUGCAAAACCGAAAGGUGAGGUAUAUGGGCUGACGCCUGCCCGGUGCUGGAAGGUUAAGGGGAGAGGUUAGUCGUAAGGCGAAGCUUUGAACUUAAGCCCCAGUAAACGGCGGCCGUAACUAUAACGGUCCUAAGGUAGCGAAAUUCCUUGUCGGGUAAGUUCCGACCCGCACGAAAGGCGUAAUGAUUUGGGCACUGUCUCAACGAUACACCCGGUGAAAUUGAAAUACCAGUGAAGAUGCUGGUUACCUGCGCCAGGACGGAAAGACCCCAUGGAGCUUUACUCCAGUUUGAUACUGGGAUUCGGCAUGGUAUGUACAGGAUAGGUGGGAGACUGAGAAGGUAUGACGUCAGUUGUACCGGAGUCGCUGUUGGGAUACCACCCUUACCAUGUUGGAUUUCUAACCUGUGGCCGUAAGCCGGUCAGGGGACAAUGUCAGGCGGGGAGUUUGACUGGGGCGGUCGCCUCCGAAAGGGUAUCGGAGGCGCUCAAAGGU
rnacentral:rRNA from 1 species